CCUACGGGAGGCUGCAGUAGGGAAUCUUCCACAAUGGGCGAAAGCCUGAUGGAGCAACGCCGCGUGGGUGAAGAAGGUCUUCGGAUCGUAAAACCCUGUUGUUAGAGGAGAAAGUGCGUGCGAGUAACUGUCCACGUUUCGACGGUAUCUAACCAGAAAGCGCCGGCUAACUUCGUCCCAGCAGCCGCGGUAAUACGUAAGUGGCAAGCGUUAUCCGGAUGUAUUGGGCGUAAGGGGAACGCAGGCGGUCUUUUAAGUCUGAUGUGAAAGCCUUCGGCUUAACCGGAGUAGUGCAUUGGAAACUGGGGGACUUGAGUGCAGAAGGGGAGGGUGGAACUCAAUGUGUAGCGGUGAAAUGUGUAGAUAUAUGGAAGAACACCAGUGGCGAAAGCGGCUCGCUGGGGUGUAACUGACGCUGAGGUUCGAAAGCGUGGGUAGCAAACAGGAUUAGAUACCCUUGUAGUC
rnacentral:rRNA from 1 species